CUACGGACUUAGAAAACUGAGCCUUGAUCGAGAAAUCUUUCAAGUGACGGCUCUCAAACUCAGGGAAACCUAAAUCUGGUGACAGACACGGCAAUCCUGAGCCAAGCCAAGGUCAGUGUAGAGUAUAGAGUGCUGAGUGCUGGGUUCAAUCUCAACUCAACAGUCAAGACUUGAAGCUCGCAAGUCCUUGGAAGGUGCAGAGGCCCGACGGGAGCUACCCUAACGUUUAAGGCGAGGGUAAAGGGAGGGUCCAAUUCUCAAAGCCGAGG
rnacentral:ncRNA from 1 species